UACGGAGGGUGCAAGCGUUGUCCGGAAUCACUGGGCGUAAAGGGCGCGUAGGCGGCUCAUGAAGGCUGUGGUGAAAGUCCGGGGCUCAACCUCGGAUCGGCCGUGGCGACUCGUGGGCUGGAGCACUGUAGAGGCGGGUGGAAUUCCGGGUGUAGCGGUGGAAUGCGUAGAGAUCCGGAAGAACACCAGUGGCGAAGGCGGCCCGCUGGGCAGUGGCUGACGCUGUGGCGCGAAAGCUAGGGGAGCAAACGGG
rnacentral:rRNA from 1 species